rnacentral:tRNA from 1 species
CGGGGUGUAGCGCAGUCCGGUUAGCGCAUCUGCUUUGGGAGCAGAGGGUCGCAGGUUCGAAUCCUGCUACCCCGA